GGGCAGAGGAACAACUUGAGUCAUACUGCAGAAAUUCUCUCCUGUGGUCUCACCAGCUCAUCAAAAAUACUUAAAACAAUAGAGAAUGUUUUAAAACUGUCUCAGUUCAUUCUGGUAUAGAUCAAAAAGUUGGCUUGAACUGAAAGUUUCAAUUAAAGUUGCAUUUUUCAUGUGAUUUCCAAAUCAGCUUGUUUCUUGAUUAACCUCAUAAGUGGGUUCAUAUAUUACAGUCUGUAAGGAGAGCCACAGGGGAGCAAUAUGAGGAGAAGAGAACCAAACCCCAUUUCUGUUCAUGGUCAUCUGGCUUGUUCUAUGUCUUAACUGUUAAUCCAAUAGGAAGUCACAGGUAAGCUUGACAGUUAAAAUGAACCUGAGAAAAAUCAUGAUCAACUGUAUCCUCUUUUAAAGUUUUCCCAGCUCUUAACUUCUUAUGUGCCAUAAAAUGGUGAUCAUCAAAGAAUUUCUAACAUAGAGGUGGAAGAGUUGAUAUUAAGUUAAUUGGCAUGGUUUAUUGGCAUAUCUAUAGGUGAUAUUCAGCUAUGUAUACUCAUUUGGAUAUCAGCCAUGUUCAUUUAGAUAUCUUACACACAAAUAUAUGUUCAGAUGUUUCCUUUUGGAGUCCACGUAAAUGAGUGAAUUAAAUUCCAUGUCUGAGUUUCCAUUGCCAGAAUCUUCAUUUUUACUUCAAGUUCUUCUUUGGGGAAGGUCUGCUUUCCAUGGUCAAUUUUCUAGUUUCUUUCUUGUAUUCAUCUGACUUUACAAGAUACAUGCUUUUACAUGUAUGUUAUUGCAUCAGUCUGGAACAAGAAUGCUAAAUACAUGGCAGGUAUUGGACCCCUUUACUCCCUUUCCAUACAUAUGACCAUGUUGUUCACCCCUGGGACUCAGUGCAUUUUCCCACUGAAAUUGCGCUCCUUCAAGUUCUUCAACAUAAUGCUGCAAGAGUGGGAACAAAAAUAUUUUAAUUGACAUUCAAGAUGAAAGUCAUGUGCCAACCACUGAAUAGAUGUGAAGCCUGGUACACUUUUCCUUGGAUACAAGGUUGUGCUAAAGCCUUGUGUAUCCAGAGAUAUGCCUUUGUCUUAGGAAGUCUGAGUUUCUAUUUGAAGGGCAUGAGGAAUGUUCUUCUGGGAGAUGGCGUCACAAAAUAAUUUGUGUCUCGUUAAGGUCUUAAACUUGCCUAGAUCCAUAAUCCAUGCAAUCUACUCAGUACUGGUAAUGACUGGUAAUCUCAUUUGACUUUCCUGUUUCAUAAAUACGAAAGUGUCUCUUUUGAAGUAAUGAGAAAAACUGAUAAGAUAUUCCCAUAAAAUUCAAGUUCAUGUUGCUGUUUUUCAGUCACUAAGUUGUAUCUAACUCUUCUGUCCCCAUGAACUGCAGCCUGCCAGGCUUUCAUGUCCUUCACUAUCUCCCAGAAUUUGCUCAAUCCCAUGGCCACUGAGUCAGUGAUGCUGUCCAACCAUCUCAUCAUCCAUUGAGCCCUUCUCAAUUUAUUGACCUCCUGCCCUCAGACUUUCCCAUCAUUACAGUCUUUUCCAAUGAGUCAACUCUUCGCAUCAGGCAGCCAAAGUAUUGGAGCUUCAGUAUCAAUUAUUCCACCGAAUAUUCAGGGUUGAUUUUCUUUAGGAUUGACUGGUUUGAUCUUCUUGCUGUCCAAGGGACUCUUAAGAGUCUUCUCCAGCACCAUAACUUGAAAGCAUCAGUGCUUCAGUGCUCAGCCUUCUUUAUGGUCCAACUCUCAGAUCCAUACAUGACUACUAGAGAAAUCAUAGCUUUGAUUACAUGGAGCUUUCUCAGCAAAGUGAUGUCUCUGCUUUUUAAUAUGCCCUACCCAGUAACCCUGAAGAAGCUGAAGUUGAAUGGUUCUAUGAAGACCUAUAAGACCUUUUAGAACUAAGACCCAAAAAAGAUGUCCUUUUCAUUAUAGGGGACUGGAAUGCAAAAGUAGGAAGUCAAAAAACACCUAGAGUAACAGGCAAAUUUGGCCUUGGAGUACAGAAUGAAGCAGGGCAAAGGCUAAUAGAGUUUCACCAAGAGAAUGCACUGGUCAUAGCAAACACCCUCUUCCAACAACACAAGAGAAGACUCUACACAUGGACAUCACCAGAUGGUCAACUCUGAAAUCAGAUUGAUUAUAUUAUUUGCAGCCAAGGAUGGAGAAGCUCUAUACAGUCAGCAAAAACAAGACCAUGAGCUGACUGUGGUUCAGAUCAUGAACUGUUUAUUGGAAAAUUCAGACAUACAUUGAAGAAGAUAGGGAAAACCAGUAGACCAUUCAGGUAUGACCUAAAUCAAAUCCCUUAUAAUUAUACAGUGGAAGGGAGAAAUAGAUUUAUGUGAAUAGAUCUGAUAGAGUGCCUGAUGAACUAUGGACGGAGGUUUGUGACAUUGUUCAGGAAACAGGGAGCUAGAUUAUCCCCAAGAAACAGAAAUGGAAAAAAGCAAAAUAGCUGUCUGAGGAGGCCUUACAAAUAGCUGUAAAAAGAAGAGAAGGGAAAAGCAAAGGAGAGAAGGAAAGAUAUACCCAUUUGAAUGCAGAAUUUCAAAGAAUAGCAAGGAGAAAUAAGAAAGCCGCCUUCAGUGAUCAAUGCAAAGAAAUAGAGGAAAAUACUAGAAAGGAAAAGACUAGAGAUCUCUUCAAGAAUAUUAGAGAUACCAUAGGAAUAUUUCAUGCAAAGAUGGGCUCAAUAAAGGACAGAAAUGGUAUGGAGCUAACAGCAGCAGAAGACAUUAAGAAGCGGUAGCAAUUAUACACAGAAGAACUUUACAAAAAAGAUCUUCACGACCCAGAAAAUCACGGUGGUGUGAUCACUCACCUAGAGCCAGACAUCCUGGAAUGUGAAGUCAAGUGGGCCUUAGGAAGCAUCACUACAAACAAAGCUAGUGGAGGUGAUGGAAUUCCAGUUGAGGUAUUUCAAAUCCUAAAAGAUGAUGCUGUGAAACUGGUCACUCAAUAUGCCAGUAAAUUUGGAAAACUCAGCAGUGGUCAUGGGACUGGAAAAGGUCAGUUUUCAUUCCAAUCCCAAAGAAAAGCAAUGCCAAAGAAUGAUCAAACUACGACACAAUUGCACUCAUCUCACACACUAGCAAAGUAAUGCUCAAAAUUCUCCAAGCCAGGCUUCAGCAAUACGUGAGCUGUGAAUUUCCAGAUGUUCAAGCUGAUUUCAUAAAAGGCAGAGGAACCAGUGAUCAAACUGCCAACAUCUGCUGGAUCAUUGAAAAAGCAAGAGAGUUCCAGAAAAACAACUAUUUCUGCUUUAUUGACUAUGCCAAAGCCUUUGACUGUGUGGAUCACAAUAAACUGUGGAAAAUUCUGAAAGAGAUGUAAAUACCAGACCACCUGACCUGCCUCUUGAAAAAACUGUAUGCAGGUCAAGAAGCAACCGUUAGAAGUGGACACGGAACAACAGACUGGUUCCAAAUAGGAAAAGGAGUACGUCAAGGCUGUAUAUUGUCACCCUGCUUAUUUAACUGAUAUGCAGAGUACAUCAUGAGAAACGCUGUGCUGGAAGAAACACAAGCUGGAAUCAACAUUGCCGGGAGAAAUAUCAAUAACUUUAGAUAUGCAGAUGACACCACCCUUAUGGCAGAAAGUGAAGAAGAACUAAAAGCCUCUUGAUGAAAGUGAAAGAGGAGAGUGAAAAAGUUGACCUAAAGCUCCACAUUCAGAAAACUAAGAUAAUGGCAUCUGGUCCCAUCACUUCAUGGGAAAUAGAUGGGGAAACAGUAGAAACAGAGUCAGACUUUAUUUUUGGGGGGCUCCAAAAUCACUGCAGAUGGUGACUGCAGCCAUGAAAUUAAAAGACGCUUACUCCUUGGAAGGAAAGUUAUGACCAACCUAGACAGCAUAUUAAAAAGCAGAGACAUUACUUUGUCAACAAAUGUCUGUCUAGUCAAGGCUAUGGUUUUUCCUGUGGUCAUGUAUGGAUGUGAGAGUUGGACUGUGAAGAAAACUGAGCGCCGAAGAAUUGGUGCUUUUAACUGUGGUGUUGGAGAAGACUCU
ensembl:lncRNA